AGAGAGAGACAUGCGCGCAUAUCAAUAAGCGGAGGAAAAGAAACUAACAAGGAUUCCCUUAGUAACGGCGAGUGAAGCGGGAAGAGCUCAAAUUUGAAAUCUUCAAGGUUUUACCUUGACGAAUUGUAGUUUAAAGAAGUGUUUUCUGCUGAAGUUUUGGUAAAAGUUCUUUGGAAUAGGACAUCAUAGAGGGUGAGAAUCCCGCUAUUUGACCAUUAUUUUCAGCUUUGUGAUACACUUUCAAAGAGUCGGAUUGUUUGGGAAUGCAGUCCAAAAUGGGUGGUAAAUUUCAUCUAAAGCUAAAUAUUGGCGAGAGACCGAUAGCGAACAAGUACCGUGAGGGAAAGAUGAAAAGAACUUUGAAAAGAGAGUUAAACAGUACGUGAAAUUGUCAAAAGGGAAGCGUUUGACACCAGUGUUGUUUUCUCGAAAAUCAAUUAAAAAUGGCUCGAUUUUGUAUUGCUUGAGACCUUAAAAGCUCACUGUACAUUUUUCGUGUCUUUUUUAAUGCACUUUUCGUUUAACAAGUCAACAUCAGUUUCUUUUGUUGUAAAAGGGUCAUUGGAAGGUGGCUUUCUUUUCGGAGAAAGUGUUUAUAGCCUUUGGCCUCUGCAAUCGGAGGGACUGAGGUCUGCAGCGUAGACUCUUCGGGGUUAGAUACAUUUGUGCUAAGUUAUAGCUUUUUAUAGACAACUUGUUGACUAUAAUUAGUCUUGCAGCUUACUCGCUUAUGCUAUUUUACCUACGCUUAGGAUGUUGAGUCGUAGAGCACGCAG
rnacentral:rRNA from 1 species